rnacentral:rRNA from 1 species
AUUGAACGCUGCGGCCGGCCUAACACAUGCAAGUCGAGCGAGCGGCGGACGGGUGAGUAAUGACUGGGAGACUGCCUGAUGAAGGGGGAUAACUACUGGAAACGGUAGCUAAUAACGCAUAUCACCAGAUGAGCCCAGGUGGGAUUAGCUAGUAGGUGGGGUAACGGCUCACCUAGGCGACGAUCCCUAGCUGGUCUGAGAGGAUGACCAGCCACACUGGAACUGAGACACGGUCCAGACUCCUACGGGAGGCAGCAGUGGGGAAUAUUGCACAAUGGGCGCAAGCCUGAUGCAGCCAUGCCGCGUGUGUGAAGAAGGCCUUCGGGUUGUAAAGCACUUUCAGCGGGGAGGCGUUACCCGCAGAAGAAGCACCGGCUAACUCCGUGCCAGCCGCCGCGGUAAUUC